rnacentral:tRNA from 1 species
CCUCUUGUAGCUCAGCGAUUACAGCAUUGGUGCGUAAGGCCAAAGGUCCCGGGUUCGAUUCCCGGCGAGGGCG